rnacentral:rRNA from 1 species
UACGAGAGGUCCAAACGUUAUUCGGAAUCACUGGGCUUACAGAGUUCGUAGGCGGCUUUAUAAGUCGGGGGUGAAAGCCUGUGGCUCAACCACAGAAUUGCCUUCGAUACUGUAGAGCUUGAGACCGGAAGAGGUAAGUGGAACUGCGAGUGUAGAGGUGAAAUUCGUAGAUAUUCGCAAGAACACCAGUGGCGAAGGCGGCUUACUGGUCCGGUUCUGACGCUGAGGCGCGAAAGCGUGGGGAGCAAACAGG